UUACGAACAAAUUUGAGUUCAGAUUGUGAAUAAUAUUAUUAAAGGAAAAUAAUAUCAAUCUUUUGAUUUUUGUGUUUCUGAAAUUAAACAUACAAUUUGGAAUAGGAAUAUUGAAAAUAUUUCAAGAAAAUUAUUAAACAAAUUUGUGAAGAGUAAAGAUAAACAGUGAUUGGACCAGAACUGAUUCUUGGAACCAUCUUAGAGUCAUCAACGGGUAGUGCAGAACCAAUUUUUAUAAAGUGGCAGCACAACCAAUAUAUUACAAACUGGGUGACCCUAGGUUGGAAAAAGCUUUCAUUGUGCAGAAGUAAAAGCUCUGUACAAGAAGUAAAAGCUCUCUCCAAGAAUUUGUAUUUAGCAAGAGUCUGAACCCAAGAAAAUAAGUCUUAACUGUGGAGGGAACGGAAAUCCCAGUUGGAAAUUUUAGAAGAAAAGGGAGGCAAACGUAUUGUUCUCAGUGGCUGUAGGGAUUAGGUUAAAGUUAGGAAUUACUUUUAGGGGAUCUUGGAAAAUUAUAUUUUAAACCUAUUAGAUUAAGUUUUGAAACUAU